UGCCAAGCAGGCGGGAAGGCAGUCCACUCGAGGGACGCGGGCGAAAGUGAGGGGUGGAGCCUCCCAGUCGCCCUAGCAGUUGACCCCUCUCUUCUGUGUGUCCUCUCCACUCUGCAAUAUAAAAUAGCCCACAUGCUAUUUUACUCACUCAACGACAGACUCCAAAACCAG